rnacentral:rRNA from 1 species
UACAGAGGGGGCAAGCGUUUGUUCGGAUUCAUUGGGCGUAAAGGGUGCGUAGGCGGCGCGGUAAGUCGGGUGUGAAAUCUCGGAGCUUAACUCCGAAACUGCAUUCGAUACUGCCGUGCUUGAGGACUGGAGAGGAGACUGGAAUUUACGGUGUAGCGGUGAAAUGCGUAGAUAUCGUAAGGAAGACCAGUGGCGAAGGCGGGUCUCUGGACAGUUCCUGACGCUGAGGCACGAAGGCCAGGGGAGCAAACGGG